rnacentral:rRNA from 1 species
UACGGAGGGGGCUAGCGUUGUUCGGAAUUACUGGGCGUAAAGCGCACGUAGGCGGACGAGAAAGUCAGAGGUGAAAUCCCGGGGCUCAACCCUGGAACUGCCUUUGAAACUCCUUGUCUUGAGGUCGAGAGAGGUGAGUGGAAUUCCGAGUGUAGAGGUGAAAUUCGUAGAGAUUCGGAGGAACACCAGUGGCGAAGGCGGCUCACUGGCUCGACACUGACGCUGAGGUGCGAAAGCGUGGGGAGCAAACAGG